rnacentral:rRNA from 1 species
AGAGUUCAGAGUACGUGAAACCGCCCAGAGGUAAACGGGUGGAUCCGCAAAGUCGGCCUGCGGAAUUCAGCGCGGCGUGCGGCCUGGGGCUGGUACGGUUCGGGAUCUCUCGGGACCCGACCGUGCCGUCUCGCCGGGCCUCGCCGCGUGCACUUUCCGCAGGCAGAGCGCCACGACCGCCUUCGGGGCGGCUAGAUGCCGGGGAUGGGAAGGUGAGCAGGCGCCUUGUGCGCUUGCUGUUAUAGCCCGCCUCGGUGAGCCGUUCUGGGGGCGAGGGACGACCGCGCGUCUUGAGGCCACCUGGCCCUCCGGGGGAGUUCGACUGGCGGGGACCGGGCAACCGUGCCCGCCGACCGCUCCUCCGUGACUGGAUUGGGCUGGCCGGGCGUGCAUCAGGGUCAGUGGCGAGUCUGUCGGCAUUCCACCCGACCCGUCUUGAAACACGGACCAAGGAGUCUAACAUGCGCGCGAGUCAUUGGGCGGUACGAAACCCAAAGGCGCAGUGAAAGCGAGGGCGGCCCCGGGCUGACCCAGG